CACAGGAUUCCUAAAAUUGGGCGCCUUGAGAAGAAAUUCUCGAAGUGGAUCUGCUCAAAUUCGGGGAAAGCUUCACAGGAAACUAUAUGCCAAUCCCGAGCCAAGCCUAUCUUAAAACAGAUAGGAAGGUGUAGAGACUGAACGGGCAGCACCUAAAAAGUAUAAAGCUUCAAGGUGAAGAGACAGUCCAGACCACGAACAG
rnacentral:ncRNA from 1 species